GGAACAGCAGUGAGGAAGGAGACAGAAGCGGAUGAAGCUUUAAAGGAGUUUAAUCUCUGGAGGCCGGAUUGCCUGUGUGGACCCCAGCUUGCCAAACGUAGGGGCUCGUGGACUGUUCCCUUCUCCUCCACACUUCUGAGAGGAGGUGCCUUCAAAAAAAUAAAUAAAAUCCCCCUCGUCCAGCCUCCGGGCCCUGAUUUCCCCCUGGCUAGACAGCCCCAGCGCACCACUUGCCUUUUCUAUGUUCAGUAUUCUGUCUUUUUACCAAAAGAAGAUGGACUCCUGUGUUGAUGUGCUGUUUCUGCUGCUAAAUGUAAGACUGUAAACUCCACAUAAGUGCUCCUACACGCUCCCACCGCCGUAGCCCAGCAGUGUGGAGGGCAGUGCUAGUUAUGCUAGCUCCAUCAGUUGUCAUGUGUCGUCAGGCUGUGAUGUCGUCUUUGACGUUGCUCUAUAAACUGAUCAUCAUAAACGUGAUGCCUCCUUGUCAUUUUUGAGUGGCGUUGGUUACUCGUGUCUUUCUCUGGUCCCAUCUGUCCGUGUGUCACAUGCCAACUUCUAUCAUUCUAAUGGCCGUUAUUUACAUGUGGAAUCCUUUCGUCACAUGGCAUUCAUCACACGGAG
rnacentral:lncRNA from 1 species